AAGUUAAACCUUCUAAACAGCAGGCCUGCCAGAAAUGAAAUACCUAUUCUAGUACAAACUACUUGUAGCUUCUACCUUUUCCCCUCUAGAGAGCUACGACUAAGCUUCUAUUCAUUUAAGAAACUGAAAUUCAAGAUGCUGAGUCACAUUCUUGAACAUUAUCGAAAUAAUCAGCCAAAGACAUCCUGGCAGAGGGUUGCUUUGGCAGUAGAUGAUAGCAAGGCUGGUAUUUAACAUUACUGCAGGAAACCAAAUGACGUUAUUGUGACUCACAGUUUGAGACUGCAAUACCUGAUGGAGUGCCUCUCCUGGCCUGAAUCUACCCAGACGCUAUGAUCAAUCUCUGAGGACUUCCUGAGCUCCACCACCAAAGACAGUCUGGAGGGUGGCAACAAGCAGAAGCCUUUUCAGUGCUGGCCCCCAUUUGUGGAAUGCAAUCCCUGCUGAGGCCUGGCUGGUGCCAACUCUGCUAUCUUUUUGACAUCAGGCCUGGGGAGAGCUGACACAGGAGAGGAGAAGGAGCACAAGAUGCUGAAGUCUAAUCUCAAAUUGGUGCCGUUUUACAGAAAUACAGCACUUGCAAAGAACAGCUCAAUCAAAUCAUAAUAAGGAAACACAAGAAUCAUCCCUUCCUCUGCUCCCCAAAAUCUCCAGCCUAGCACUUGCUAGUGAACAGCUGCUUAUCUACUCAUAGGAUAGCAAAUUGGAUAGAACUAAUGAUUCUGCAGCAACAUCACAUUCGGAACAAGCUCUCUGUACUGCUAUGCUGAAAACAGAAAUGGUUUGCACAGUUUUACAAGGGCAUCAUUCAAGCAAUUUCCAAGUUCAAAGGCUUGAAAAAUUGCAACCUGUAUUGACUAUAUGAAUUCGUGCAUAGGUCUCAUAAGGAAACUGCAGUAUAUAUUUCACAUAAGAGGAACUGGACAUGAAAAUUAAAGCACAUUCUUGGAAGAAGGCAGUAAGACAGCAAUAAUCAGGCAGCUAAGAAUUAGGCUGAUUUCCCAAGACCAGCCUAUUUGACUUGUACAUUCUCCAAUUUAAAUGAAAUGCUGCCCUUCUACUGUAGCGGCUAUACAAGAUUUUCAUUUGGAACCAGUGAAAUUAAAUACUAAUACUCUAAUUGAUAGAAAGCAAGAUCAUAGAGAAAAUCAGCUGAAAAGUAAAUUAACUGUGUGGU